UCCGAGUUGACCCCGGCAGUCUCCCAUGAGUCCCCACCAUUACGUGCUGGCAACAUGCAACGGGGGUUGCGCUCGUUGCGGGACUUAACCCAACAUCUCACGACACGAGCUGACGACAGCCAUGCACCACCUGUGACAGUGUCCCGAAGGAAAGGUGUGUUUCCACGACAUUCCUGUGCAUGUCAAGCCCUGGUAAGGUUCUUCGCGUCGCAUCGAAUUAAACAACAUGCUCCGCUGCUUGUGCGGGUCCCCGUCAAUUCCUUUGAGUUUUAGCCUUGCGGCCGUACUCCCCAGGCGGGGUGCUUAAUGCGUUAGCUGCGGCACAGACGGCGUGGAAUACCGCCUACACCUAGCACCCACCGUUUACGGCGUGGACUAC
rnacentral:misc_RNA from 1 species